CACGUAGGGCGCAAGCGUUGUCCGGAAUUAUUGGGCGUAAAGAGCUCGUAGGUGGUUUGUUACGUCCGCUGUGAAAUCCUAGGGCUUAACCCUGGGCUUGCAGUGGAUACGGGCAGACUAGAGGUAGGUAGGGGAGAAUGGAAUUCCUGGUGUAGCGGUGAAGUGCGCAGAUAUCAGGAGGAACACCGGUGGCGAAGGCGGUUCUCUGGGCCUUACCUGACACUGAGGAGCGAAAGCGUGGGGAGCGAACAGG
rnacentral:rRNA from 1 species